rnacentral:rRNA from 1 species
CCUACGGGAGGCAGCAGUGAGGAAUAUUGGUCAAUGGACGCAAGUCUGAACCAGCCAUGCCGCGUGCAGGAAGACGGCUCUAUGAGUUGUACACUGCUUUUGUACGAGGGUAAAUCUCGAUACGUGUAUCGGGUUGCUAGUAUCGUACGAAUAAGGAUCGGCUAACUCCGUGCCAGCAGCCGCGGUAAUACGGAGGAUUCAAGCGUUAUCCGGAUUUAUUGGGGUUAAAGGGUGCGUAGGCGGUUCGAUAAGUUAGAGGUGAAAUCCCGGGGCUCAACUCCGGCACUGCCUCUGAUACUGGCGGGCUAGAGUUUAGUUGCGGUAGGCGGAAUGUAUGGUGUAGCGGUGAAAUGCAUAGAGAUCAUACAGAACACCGAUUGCGAAGGCAGCUUACCAAACUACGACUGACGUUGAGGCACGAAAGCGUGGGGAGCAAACAGGAUUAGAUACCCGGGUAGUC